GGAAGUUUCCCAUGGCUAUACUUAAGAUGUUCAUCUCUCACUCCAGGUACCCAGGAAGACCAGGGUCAACGCGGACAAGGAGAAUUCUUUUGACUUUUCUCACUGGGAUUCAACAACACACAUUACAAUUUACUUUUAAAAGUUCAACCAGUAGAACAUCUGUUCAGAUUGAAGAUAAUGAUCUCCUGCAUGUUCCCAGAUGUUUGGGAUGCUCAGAACUGUGGGCUCCAAGAAGUCAAGAUGACCCAUGAUGAUCAUUAAAGGGAACCGAGUCACGUGGUGGUCUCUGGUGCCUCUCUGAUGUUUGAGGUCUCAUCUUUUUAUAAAGAGCUUGGUUCAGGAUUAGAAUCUUCCAACAUUAGAAAUUAAUGACAUUGCUUUGUUGUCUUUGUAUCAACGAUUAUAGAUACUUGCUAUUAUACAAAGGCAAGGUUGGUUUUUUACUGAGCGUGGGGGUGUACAAUUUCAGUUUAUAACAAAUUUAUAUAAAAACCAGAGACAACUCCAAUAAAAGUGUUCUAAUGGUACAAGAUUAAUUAGAGUUUGGAAGGAGUUCUCUGACUCAUUCUUGGUAUGGCUGAUUAUAUGUCAUUCAAUCAUUCUCAAUUGAUAAAUAAAUAGGGUUUUUGUUUUUUUCACCCAGGAGUUGUUUUAAAAAAUUGCUUUGCUGUUAGAACAAUGUUGCAAUGAAUAUCCUGACUUUUAUACUUUGAUUUCUAUAGAAUACGUUGUCCAAAGUGAGGUUUCCAGACCAAAUUAUCUUGUGUAUUUUUAAUUUUAAUAGAUUGUUUCCAGAUCAUUUUCAAAAAUGUUGAAAUGUCAUACUCUAAUGAGCAAUAUAUGAAAUGGAAUAUUCUCCCACAUCUUGGAUGUCACUGGAGUUAUCAUUCUUUUUAAGUCUUACCAAUCUGAUGGGGUAAAAAUUGGCAUCUCACUUUCCCUUUAAUUUGCAUUUUUUCUGACUAAGUCCAGUAGUUAAAAGUAGUUACUCUGAAACACAAAUCCUUUGAUUUGAAUCGAACACUGCCACUUAAUGGCUGUUUUUUCUUGGUUGAGCGUCUAAAUCAAGAUUUUAAUGGACAUCAUAAUGGUGUCCACCCCUUAGAGCUGCUGCAAAAACUGGGUGAGUUGAUGUGUCUAAAAAAAAGACCUGAAUGAUAGUGAGCUUUACAU
rnacentral:lncRNA from 1 species